rnacentral:rRNA from 1 species
GACGAACGCUGGCGGCGUGCUUAACACAUGCAAGUCGAACGGAAAGGCCCUGCUUUUGUGGGGUGCUCGAGUGGCGAACGGGUGAGUAACACGUGAGUAACCUGCCCUUGACUUUGGGAUAACUUCAGGAAACUGGGGCUAAUACCGGAUAGGAGCUCCUGCUGCAUGGUGGGGGUUGGAAAGUUUCGGCGGUUGGGGAUGGACUCGCGGCUUAUCAGCUUGUUGGUGGGGUAGUGGCUUACCAAGGCUUUGACGGGUAGCCGGCCUGGGAGGGUGACCGGCCACAUUGGGACUGAGAUACGGCCCAGACUCCUACGGGAGGCAGCAGUGGGGAAUAUUGCACAACGGGCGGAAGCCUGAUGCAGCAACGCCGCGUGCGGGAUGACGGCCUUCGGGUUGUAAACCGCUUUCGCCUGUGACGAAGCGUGAGUGACGGUAAUGGGUAAAGAAGCACCGGCUAACUACGUG